rnacentral:rRNA from 1 species
UACGGGGGGGGCAAGCGUUGUUCGGAAUUACUGGGCGUAAAGGGCUCGUAGGCGGCCAACUAAGUCAGACGUGAAAUCCCCGGGCUCAACCUGGGAACUGCGUCUGAUACUGGAUGGCUUGAAUUCGGGAGAGGGAUGCAGAAUUCCAGGUGUAGCGGUGAAAUGCGUAGAUAUCUGGAGGAAUACCGGUGGCGAAGGCGGCAUCCUGGACCGACAUUGACGCUGAGGAGCGAAAGCUAGGGGAGCAAACGGG